AGAGCUUUAUGAAACCGUACCGCAAACCAACACCGGUGGGGUGGUCGAGUAGACCAAGGUGAACGAGAGAACUCGCGUUAAGGAACUCGGCAAAAUAGCGUCCGUAACUUCGGGAUAAGGACUGACGGUGGCCGCAAGGCCAUCGCCCGCAGCAAAAGAGAUCAGGCGACUGUUUACCAAAAACACAGGUCCCUGCUAAGUCGCAAGACGAUGUAUAGGGGCUGAUGCCUGCCCAGUGUCAGAAGGUUACGUGAGAGGGUGCAAGCCUUUGAUCUAAGCCCUGAUGAACGGCGGCCGUAACUAUAACGGUCCUAAGGUAGCGAAAUUCCUUGUCGGGUAAGUUCCGACCCGCACGAAUGGUACAACGGUCUGAUCACUGUCUCGACGCGAGACUCGGUGAAAUUGCAGUCCCGGUGCAAAUGCCGGGUAGAUGACGGAAGGACGAAAAGACCCUAUGAAGCUUUACUAUACGCUGGCAUUGUGUUUUUACUCUGCUUGUGCAGGAUAGGUGGGAGACUUUGAAGUGGCGACGUCAGUCGCUGUGGAGUCAUUGUUGAGAUACCACCCUUGUAUUGUGAGAACACUCACCUUGUGUGUGACACGCACCAGGGGACAGUGCUUGCUGGGUAGUUUAACUGGGGCGGUUGCCUCCUAAAAUGUAACGGAGGCGUGCAAUGGUCCACUAGUACCGGAUGGAAAUCGGUAUUGUCGUGCAAUCGCAUAAGUGGGCCUGACUGUGAGACUUACAGGUCGAGCAGGGACGAAAGUCGGUGAUAGUGAUCCGGUGUCCGAGCACUUUAAAAUGCUCAAACCACGUGGGUGGGACAUCGCUCAACGGAUAAAAGUUACUCUAGGGAUAACAGGCUGAUCGCUCCCAAGCGCCCACAGCGACGGAGCGGUUUGGCACCUCGAUGUCGGCUCAUCGCAUCCUGGGGCUGAAGAAGGUCCCAAGGGUUUGGCUGUUCGCCAAUUAAAGCGGUACGCGAGCUGGGUUCAGAACGUCGUGAGACAGUUUGGCCUCUAUCCUCCGUCAUCAUCUAGAAACGUGAAGGAAGCUGCUCCUAGUACGAGAGGACCGGAGUGGACGAACCUCUGGUGUACCUAUUGUCGUGUCAACGGCAGAGUAGGAUAGCUAUGUUCGGCAGGGAUAACCGCUGAAAGCAUCUAAGUGGGAAGCCCCUCCUAAGAUUGCGUUUCUCCAUAAGUCCGCCGGAAGAUGACCGGCUAGAUCGGCUACAGGUGUACGCACGGUAACGUGUUCAGCCGAGUAGUACGAAUGGACAAUUGAACAUUUUUCU
rnacentral:rRNA from 1 species